CAAGAUUUGAGAUCUGGAAAGGGCCUAAUAUAUCAGCAGUCACGAUAAGUUGUGGGAAGGGCACGUGACAAGUGAUUGGAAUGUGAUGAAGGAGGUGUCGAGGACUGUCGCAAGGAGAUGAGAAGGCUUCAGUGUGGGAGCCCAGUGCAGCAGAGGGAAUAUCUGUGCCUUUAACAUGCAGAUA